rnacentral:rRNA from 1 species
UACGGAGGGAGCUAGCGUUGUUCGGAAUUACUGGGCGUAAAGCGCACGUAGGCGGCUUUGUAAGUUAGAGGUGAAAGCCCGGAGCUCAACUUCGGAAUUGCCUUUAAGACUGCAUCGCUCGAAUCCAGGAGAGGUGAGUGGAAUUCCGAGUGUAGAGGUGAAAUUCGUAGAUAUUCGGAAGAACACCAGUGGCGAAGGCGGCUCACUGGACUGGUAUUGACGCUGAGGUGCGAAAGCGUGGGGAGCAAACAGG